rnacentral:rRNA from 1 species
UACGGGAGGCAGCAGUGGGGAAUAUUGCACAAUGGGCGCAAGCCUGAUGCAGCCAUGCCGCGUGUAUGAAGAAGGCCUUCGGGUUGUAAAGUACUUUCAGUCGUGAGGAAGGUGUUAAGGUUAAUAACCUUAGCAAUUGACGUUAGCGACAGAAGAAGCACCGGCUAACUCCGUGCCAGCAGCCGCGGUAAUACGGAGGGUGCGAGCGUUAAUCGGAAUUACUGGGCGUAAAGGGCACGCAGGCGGUUAAUUAAGUUGGAUGUGAAAUCCCCGGGCUUAACCUGGGAAUGGCAUUCAAGACUGGUUAGCUAGAGUCUUGUAGAGGGGGUAGAAUUCCAUGUGUAGCGGUGAAAUGCGUAAAGAUGUGGAGGAAUACCGGUGGCGAAGGCGGCCCCUGGACAAAGACUGACGCUCAUGUGCGAAAGCUGGGGAGCAAACAGGGAUUAGAUACC